GUCGUAACUUUCAUAAGUUACUUCAAAACAAAUUUAAAAGUUAAACAACGGAGAUCGGAUAAUGAGUUAACUGUUUUUAAAUAAUUUCAGCUGAAGUUUUCGUGUACCUGGCCAACGGUACGUAGGUGCUCGGGACAGUAGAAAUAAAAUGGUCUAAUCCAAAAGAGCAAGCUCGCAAGCUAUAUGUUCUGAAGCUAAAUAAUUUCUGCUUCAAGAUUUUGUAAAUCUUCAAGAUAUUGAUGCCUUCGCCAGAUCCAAUUCUUUACUGCUUAUCUAUGUUGUAGACUACAGCAAGUAAAUGUUGCUACUCAAGAUUUUGUGGUGAAUAUAACUUAGUUCUAAUUUGGGACAAUGUAAGAUUUGAGGUAUUGCUUUCUGUCGCUACAAUAUGGAUUGAAAAUUAUACCUAAUGCAAUUUCCUUUCAGGUUAAUCCCUCU